ACUCCUACGGGAGGCAGCAGUGGGGAAUAUUGGACAAUGGGCGCAAGCCUGAUCCAGCCAUGCCGCGUGAGUGAUGAAGGCCCUAGGGUUGUAAAGCUCUUUCACCGGUGAAGAUAAUGACGGUAACCGGAGAAGAAGCCCCGGCUAACUUCGUGCCAGCAGCCGCGGUAAUACGAAGGGGGCUAGCGUUGUUCGGAUUUACUGGGCGUAAAGCGCACGUAGGCGGACUAUUAAGUCAGGGGUGAAAUCCCGGGGCUCAACCCCGGAACUGCCUUUGAUACUGGUAGUCUUGAGUUCGAGAGAGGUGAGUGGAAUUCCGAGUGUAGAGGUGAAAUUCGUAGAUAUUCGGAGGAACACCAGUGGCGAAGGCGGCUCACUGGCUCGAUACUGACGCUGAGGUGCGAAAGCGUGGGGAGCAAACAUGAUUAGAAACCCGAGUAGUCC
rnacentral:rRNA from 1 species